rnacentral:rRNA from 1 species
UAACACGUGAGCAAUCUGCCUUUCAGAGGGGGAUACCGAUUGGAAACGAUCGUUAAUACCGCAUAAUAUAAUUGAACCGCAUGAUUUGAUUAUCAAAGAUUUAUCGCUGAAAGAUGAGCUCGCGUCUGAUUAGCUAGUUGGUAAGGUAACGGCUUACCAAGGCGACGAUCAGUAGCCGGACUGAGAGGUUGAUCGGCCACAUUGGGACUGAGACACGGCCCAGACUCCUACGGGAGGCAGCUG